rnacentral:rRNA from 1 species
GAACGGAGAAUUGCUAGCUUGCUAAUAAUUCUCUAGUGGCGCACGGGUGAGUAACACGUGAGUACCUGCCCCCAAGAGUGGGAUAGCCCCGGGAAACUGGGAUUAAUACCGCAUAAAGCAAUAAAGCAGCAAUGCGCUUGGGGAUGGGCUCGCGUCCUAUUAGUUAGUUGGUGAGGUAACGGCUCACCAAGGCGAUGACGGGUAGCCGGUCUGAGAGGAUGUCCGGCCACACUGGAACUGAGACACGGUCCAGACACCUACGGGUGGCAGCAGUCGAGAAUCAUUCACAAUGGGGGAAACCCUGAUGGUGCGACGCCGCGUGGGGGAUAAGGUCUUCGGAUUGUAAACCCCUGUCAUGUGGGACAUUAAAAGAUAGUACCACAAGAGGAAGAGACGGCUAACUCUGUGCCAGCAGCCGCGGUAAUACAGAGGUCUCAAGCGUUGUUCGGAAUCACUGGGCGUAAAGCGUGCGUAGGCGGUUUCGUAAGUCGUGUGUGAAAGGCGGGGGCUCAACCCCCGGACUGCACAUGAUACUGCGAGACUAGAGUAAUGGAGGGGGAACCGGAAUUCUCGGUGUAGCAGUGAAAUGCGUAGAUAUCGAGAGGAACACUCGUGGCGAAGGCGGGUUCCUGGACAUUAACUGACGCUGAGGCACGAAGGCCAGGGGAGCGAAAGGGAUUAGAUACCCCUGUAGUCCUGGCA